CCGACCCUGGGACCCAGGCCUGCCUCUCACUCUCUGAGAAGCUCACUUUGCUCCCACACCCACCUUCUCAUUUCAGGCUUCUGUGCGGCGAGUUGCAUAGUUGCUGUGAAGUACGGCUCCGUGAGUGAUAUGUUGUAGGAUGUGAACGUCCCCACGGGGAAUUGCGUGCACAGGGACAAUGCCGCAGAGGACAGAUGAGCCCAUGGGCUGCAGUCCUGGCAGUGUCCAGGCUGGAGUUGUCCCCACUGUCCUCUUGUCAGGAAUAGUUGGAGUCAUGCUGAGGAUGAUGCCAAUAUGCUCAGCGGUGUGGCUGCUGGCCCUGCCUCUGUAAGAAGAUGUCAUGGAUCCAUCAUUGCAGAGGUGGCCUGGGGAGCCAUGGCUCUAUUGAGGACUCACCAGACAAGGCUGUCAGCCCCUAGAUUUAAAAAAUAUGUCCUAAAGACAAGCCUCUUGACCCAUGACCACUGAGUACUGGAUAUUUCUGGAAAACACAAAAUUUUAGACGUGAUACAAGAAGAAAUAGAAAAAUUGAAUAACUAACAACUAUUAAAGGAAUUGAAAUGUUCAUUGAAAUUCUUCCUGCCUUUCAAAAUACAAGACCCAUGUGGUUUUACAGGGACUUGACAAGGGCCCUUGCACCCCUCCCCACUGGAGUGAGGACAGCCUCCCCGCUGCAGUGCUGAGUCCAGGAUGCCUGCUGUGCUUGUCCAGUGAGUACCUGUGGCCAUCUUGAGGUUCUCCUGUUUCCGGUCUGUUGGAAGUCCCUCUGCCUCCCUUAGCUUUCUCCUGCACAGACUGAUACCGUGGAGGACAGUGGCUCUUGGACCUUUGUCCCCAUUUGUUUGUACUUUUGGGGUUCACCUGGUUUUGUUGCAAGUUUCAACUGUGUAGUUUUGCUUUUGCUCUCUAGUUGCUUUGUCUGGUUU